UGGGGAAUUUUGGACAAUGGGCGCAAGCCUGAUCCAGCCAUGCCGCGUGCGGGAAGAAGGCCUUCGGGUUGUAAACCGCUUUUAGCUGGGAAGAAAAGGCACGGGCUAACAGUCCGUGUUCUUGACGGUACCGGCGGAAUAAGCACCGGCUAACUACGUGCCAGCAGCCGCGGUAAUACGUAGGGUGCGAGCGUUAAUCGGAAUUACUGGGCGUAAAGCGUGCGCAGGCGGUGAGCUGUGUCCGAUGUGAAAGCCCCGGGCUUAACCUGGGAAUGGCAUUGGAAACUGGCUUGCUCGAGUGCGGCAGAGGGGGGUGGAAUUCCGCGUGUAGCAGUGAAAUGCGUAGAGAUGCGGAGGAACACCGAUGGCGAAGGCAGCCCCCUGGGUCGACACUGACGCUCAGGCACGAAAGCGUGGGGAGCAAACAG
rnacentral:rRNA from 1 species